rnacentral:rRNA from 1 species
AGCAGCCGCUGUAAUUCCAGCUCCAAUAGCGUAUAUUAAAGUUGCUGCAGUUAAAAAGCUCGUAGUUGAAUUUCGGGACCAAUUUGUUGGUCGUGCCUCGGUACGUACUGAUAUUAUUGGUUUCUCCCUUCUGAAGAACCUUGAUGCCAUUAAUUUGGUGUCUUGGGGAAUCAGGACUGUUACUUUGAAAAAUUAGAGUGUUUAAAGCAGGCAUACGCCUGAAUACAUUAGCAUGGAAUAAUGAAAUAGGACGUUUGAUUCUAUUUUGUUGGUUUCUAGGAUCGACGUAAUGAUUAAUAGGGAUAGUUGGGGGCAUUAGUAUUCAAUUGUCAGAGGUGAAAUUCUUGGAUUUUAUUGAAGAC